rnacentral:lncRNA from 1 species
AUCUUUGUGAAUAUACAAAUAUACACCCACAGGAACUGAGCUGAGACCAGAAAAUGGACACCCACAGGAACAGAAGAGAGGCACAUGGCAAAGCAAAAAAAAACAAAAAAAAAGAAAAAGAAAAUCCAUAUGAACUCCAGUAACAAAAUCUCAGGACUAAGCUUCUUUAACUUUAUUAUCAGGUUUAUUCCUGUCCGAGGGGAAAGCCUUCCAAGAAAAUCCGGUCUGAGAAAAUGCCCAGCUUGAUGUCCAGUCACAGAAAAAAUCUAGGAAGUGCCUGAACUUCUG